rnacentral:rRNA from 1 species
AACGAACGCUGGCGGCAUGCCUAACACAUGCAAGUCGAACGAGACCUUCGGGUCUAGUGGCGCACGGGUGCGUAACGCGUGGGAACCUGCCCUUAGGUUCGGAAUAACUCCCCGAAAGGGGUGCUAAUACCGGAUAAUGUCUUCGGACCAAAGAUUUAUCGCCUUUGGAUGGGCCCGCGUUGGAUUAGCUAGUUGGUAGGGUAAAAGCCUAACAAGGCGACGAUCCAUAGCUGGUCUGAGAGGAUGAUCAGCCACACUGGGACUGAGACACGGCCCAGACUACUACGGGAGGCAGCAGUGGGGAAUAUUGGAAAAUGGGCGAAAGGCUGAACCAGCAAUGCCGCGUGAGUGAUGAAGGCCUUAGGGUUGUAAAGCUCUUUUAACCGGGAUGAUAAUGACAGUACCGGGAGAAUAAGCUCCGGCUAACUCCGUG